AGUGAACGCCGGCGGUAGGCCUAACACAUGCAAGUCGAACGGCAGCACAGGAGAGCUUGCUCUCUGGGUGGCGAGUGGCGGGCGGGUGAGGAAUACAUCGGAAUCUACUUUUUCGUGGGGGAUAACGUAGGGAAACUUACGCUAAUACCGCAUACGACCUACGGGUGAAGGCAGGGGACCUUCGGGCCUUGCGCGGAUGAAUGAGCCGAUGUCGGAUUAGCUAGUUGGCGGGGUAAAGGCCAACCAAGGCGACGAUCCGUAGCUGGUCUGAGAGGAUGAUCAGCCACACUGGAACUGAGACACGGUCCAGACUCCUACGGGAGGCAGCAGUGGGGAAUAUUGGACAAUGGGCGCAAGCCUGAUCCAGCCAUACCGCGUGGGUGAAGAAGGCCUUCGGGUUGUAAAGCCCUUUUGUUGGGAAAGAAAUCCAGCUGGCUAAUACCCGGUUGGGAUGACGGUACCCAAAGAAUAAGCACCGGCUAACUUCGUGCCAGCCGCCGCCGUAA
rnacentral:rRNA from 1 species